rnacentral:rRNA from 1 species
CCUACGGGUGGCAGCAGUGAGGAAUAUUGGUCAAUGGACGAGAGUCUGAACCAGCCAAGUAGCGUGAAGGAUGACUGCCCUAUGGGUUGUAAACUUCUUUUAUAUGGGAAUAAAAUGUUCCACGUGUGGGAUUUUGUAUGUACCAUAUGAAUAAGGAUCGGCUAACUCCGUGCCAGCAGCCGCGGUAAUACGGAGGAUCCGAGCGUUAUCCGGAUUUAUUGGGUUUAAAGGGAGCGUAGGUGGAUUGUUAAAUCAGUUGUGAAAGUUUGCGGCUAAACCGUAAAAUUGCAGUUGAAACUGGCAGUCUUGAGUACAGUAGAGGUGGGCGGAAUUCGUGGUGUAGCGGUGAAAUGCUUAGAUAUCACGAAGAACUCCGAUUGCGAAGGCAGUUCACUGGACUGCAACUGACACUGAGGCUCGAAAGUGUGGGUAUCAAACAGGAUUAGAUACCCGAGUAGUC